CGAUGUAUUUUUUUAUUUUUAUCAUCUUAUUUUUUUAUUUUAAUACGGUUAUACUCGUUAUUUUGACUACAAAAAAUGAAUUUGAGUUUGAUCGAACCAAUAACUUACGCGUAGUGAAUUUUUGAUGUAAUGGUUUUAUUUUCAAUUUUCUACUUGUAACUCUUGUAUGUUUAUUAUUUAUUUGAUUAAAACAAUGAGAAAAAGUUAUUUCAGCAUGAAAAAAUAAGUUUUUUAUUUUUUGUUAAAUAAGUGCAUACGGUAGAAAAGUUCGCGUUAUGUCAAAAUAUCAUUAAUAAUUGGUACUUAAAUCAUCUGCAAGGAUAUUACGGUAU